UACGGCUACAUCACGUUGAAGCAUCGGUUCCAGUACGAUCACGGAAUUUAAGCAACGUCGAGCCUGGUCUGUACUUAGAUGGUUGACUGUUUGGGAAUACCAGUUUCUGUAA